rnacentral:rRNA from 1 species
GACGAACGCUGGCGGCGUGCUUAACACAUGCAAGUCGAACGAUGAAGCCGGAGCUUGCUCUGGUGAAUUAGUGGCGAACGGGUGAGUAACACGUGAGUAACCUGCCCUUGACUCUGGGAUAACUGCGGGAAACUGUAGCUAAUACCGGAUACGACCCUCGGAGGCAUCUCCUGGGGGUGGAAAGAAUUUCGGUAAAGGAUGGACUCGCGGCCUAUCAGCUAGUUGGUGAGGUAAAGGCUGACCAAGGCGACGACGGGUAGCCGGCCUGAGAGGGUAACCGGCCACACUGGGACUGAGACACGGCCCAGACGCCUACGGGAGGCAGCAGUGGGGCAUAUUGCACAAGGGGCGGAAGCCUGAUGCAGCAACGCCGCGUGAGGGAUGACGGCCUUCGGGUUGUAAACUUCCUUUAGCAGGGAAGAAGCGAAAGUGACGGUACCUGCAGAAAAAGCACCGGCUAACUACGUGCCAGCCGCCGCGGUAA